rnacentral:rRNA from 1 species
AACGAACGCUGGCGGCAUGCCUAACACAUGCAAGUCGAACGAGACCUUCGGGUCUAGUGGCGCACGGGUGCGUAACGCGUGGGAAUCUGCCCUUGGGUUCGGAAUAACAGUUAGAAAUGACUGCUAAUACCGGAUGAUGUCUUCGGACCAAAGAUUUAUCGCCCAGGGAUGAGCCCGCGUAGGAUUAGCUUGUUGGUGGGGUAAAGGCCUACCAAGGCGACGAUCCUUAGCUGGUCCGAGAGGAUGAUCAGCCACACUGGGACUGAGACACGGCCCAGACUCCUACGGGAGGCAGCAGUGGGGAAUAUUGGACAAUGGGCGAAAGCCUGAUCCAGCAAUGCCGCGUGAGUGAUGAAGGCCUUAGGGUUGUAAAGCUCUUUUACCCGGGAUGAUAAUGACAGUACCGGGAGAAUAAGCCCCGGCUAACCCCGUG